rnacentral:rRNA from 1 species
GAAAUUUUUAAAUGGCUGCAGAAAUUUUACUGUACUAAGGUAGCAUAAUAAUUUGUUUUUUAAUUAAAAACUAGAAUAAAAGAUUUAAUGAAAUAUAAACUGUUUCAAUUAAAUUUAUAUUAAAUUUAUUAUUUAAGUAAAAAAACUUAAAUAAUUUUUUAAGACGAUAAGACCCUAUAGAAUUUUAUUUAUUAUUUUAAUUUUUUUUUUUUAAUAAAUUUUAUUGGGGUAAUAAAAAAAUUAAUUUAAUUUUUUUUUAAAAUUACAUAUUUAAAUGAAUUAUAUAUCUUAAAUUUUAAAUUAAAAAAAUCAAUUACCUUAGGGAUAACAGCAUAAUUUUUUUUGAA